GUUAAAAGAGAUUUGUGAAGUGAAUGUUUUACACAGAAAGUGGUACAUGCUUGCAAUGUGCUGCCUGGGAGUUGGUAGAAGCAGAUAUGAUAGCAACACGUAAGAGGCCUUUAGAGAGAGAACUGAAGAAACUGGAAACAGAGAGACAGGGGCAUGCACACAGAUGGGAUUAAUUUAGACUGGUAUCAUGGUUGGCACAAGCAUAGUGGGCAGAAGUAGCUGUUCCUGUGUCACCCAGUUCUAUGUUCUAUGGGAUUGUAUGUACCAGGAGCAUUUAGGCUAUCUUCAAAGGAGCGGGUCGGACCCUGAGGAGGGCAUUUGGCAAGGAGACGGAGACGGACUCGUGUGGAGCGUCUGGUCGACCACCGUUGGUGGUCCCAGGCGGCCGGUCGAGGUGGUCCGAGGGGGUCGCAGGGUGAAGAAGAAGGUCCUUGAGCUCCAAUGGUUUUGUGCACGAAGAGAUUGAACUUUGGCAUUUACAGAAAAAAAGAAAUGCAAUAGAAUUUUAUGAAAAAAGACUAAUCAUGAACAAAGACUGACAAACUCCAACUUGCAAAAGCAAACUGUGCACGUACAACUAAUACUGAACACAUGAAUAUCUUUGAAAUUGAAAGGAAUCUUGACUCCAAUUAUGAGUGUGAAAGGCAUACUAUGGAAUUAUGUAUCGCAUUGAACUGCUGCUGCUAAGUUAACAAAUUUCAGGUCACAUGCCGGUGAUAAUAAACCUGAUUCUGAUUCUGAACAGAGAUGAGAAGGAAUUUCUUUAACUAGAGGGUGGUGAAUCUGUGGAAUUCUUUGCCAUGGACGGCUGAGGAGGACAAGUCAUUGAGCAUAUUUAAAACAGAGGUUGAUAGGUUCUUGUUUAGUCAGGGUGUAAAACGUCACGGCGAGAAGGCAGGAGAAGCAAAAGGAAUCAGGCAUGGCGGAAUGGUGGAGCAGACCUGAGGACCAAAUGGCCUAUUUCCGCUCCUUUUUCUCAUGGUCUGGGUUCGAUUCUGAACGGAGCUGUUGUCUGAGCAGGUUUGCACCUUCUCUAUCUGACUGAACAGGUUAUCCCCAGAUGCUCCAGUUACCUCACACAGAUACCGGCAGCUCAGUCAGCUAUUGUAACACCACCAGUGCAGGUUAAUGGCA